CCUACGGGCGGCAGCAGUGAGGAAUAUUGGUCAAUGGGCGUAAGCCUGAACCAGCCAAGUCGCGUGAGGGAUGAAGGUUCUAUGGAUCGUAAACCUCUUUUAUAAGGGAAUAAAGUGUGGGACGUGUCCUGUUUUGUAUGUACCUUAUGAAUAAGGAUCGGCUAACUCCGUGCCAGCAGCCGCGGUAAUACGGAGGAUCCGAGCGUUAUCCGGAUUUAUUGGGUUUAAAGGGUGCGUAGGCGGCCUUUUAAGUCUGCGGUGAAAGUCUGUGGCUCAACCAUAGAAUUGCGGUUGAAACUGGGAGGCUUGAGUAUGUUUGAGGCAGGCGGAAUGCGUGGUGUAGCGGUGAAAUGCUUAGAUAUCACGCAGAACCCCGAUUGCGAAGGCAGCCUGCCAAGCCAUGACUGACGCUGAUGCACGAAAGCGUGGGGAUCAAACAGGAUUAGAUACCCGGGUAGUG
rnacentral:rRNA from 1 species